rnacentral:rRNA from 1 species
UGGUAGUNCACGCCGUAAACGAUGAGUGCUAGGUGUUAGACCCUUUCCGGGGUUUAGUGCCGCAGCUAACGCAUUAAGCACUCCGCCUGGGGAGUACGACCGCAAGGUUGAAACUCAAAGGAAUUGACGGGGGCCCGCACAAGCGGUGGAGCAUGUGGUUUAAUUCGAAGCAACGCGAAGAACCUUACCAGGUCUUGACAUCCCUCUGACCGCUCUAGAGAUAGAGUUUUCCUUCGGGACAGAGGUGACAGGUGGUGCAUGGUUGUCGUCAGCUCGUGUCGUGAGAUGUUGGGUUAAGUCNNNCAACGAGCGCAACCCCUAUUGUUAGUUGCCAUCAUUCAGUUGGGCACUCUAGCGAGACUGCCGGUAAUAAACCGGAGGAAGGUGGGGAUGACGUCAAAUCAUCAUGCCCCUUAUGACCUGGGCUACACACGUGCUACAAUGGCUGGUACAACGAGUCGCAAGCCGGUGACGGCAAGCUAAUCUCUUAAAGCCAGUCUCAGUUCGGAUUGUAGGCUGCAACUCGC